AUGACGGACAACGAUGCUGAGUCGGUCAAGUCCGGCAACGGAGGUUUCAAGGCGAACAAGUCCGGCAACAGCGGUUCCAAAGCGAACAAGAGUGGCGACAAGGUAAACAAGGGCGGCAAGUCAGCAACCAGUGGUGGAGGAACGGGCGGUGCCAACGUACUGGCGCAUCGCAACAUCCCCAUCCAGUACCCGAUGCUCACCGACGCCAACUACGGUGUGUGGGAAGUGAAGAUGAAUAUCAUUCUCUGGUCCCUUCAAGUGUGGGAGGCCAUCAGGGAUGACGACGUCGACGAGGAGUGCGACGGGUGCCAUGGCCGCCAUGUUGGGGAACGUAGUAAUUUCAAAAAAAUUCCUACGCACACGCAAGAUCAUGGUGAUGGCAUAGCAACGAGAGGGGAGAGUGUUCGUCCACGUACCCUCGUAGACCGUAAGCGGAAGCGUUAG
rnacentral:rRNA from 1 species